AGAAACUGAUGUCACUUAUUUCCAUCAAAGAGAUCCAGAAGCAGUACUACAGCAAUUGAGAGGAAGAGGGGAAUGGUUUUUUUUUUUUUUUUCCUGUUUGGGGAAGGGAAGCUUCAUGAAAAACUUCCUGAAAUUGCUGCUGGAUCACAAAGUCAAUUUAAAAAUUUACCAGAGAAUACACAUUGAGCUUCCCAGCAUCAGGUUUCCCAGGUGGUUCAGGGAUCAAAGAACCCUCCUGCCAAUGCAGGAGAGUCAGGAGAUGGGGCUUCAACCCCUGAGUUGGGAAGAUCACCUGGAGUGGAAAAUUCCAUGGACGGAAGAGCCUGGUGGGCUGCAGUCCAUGGGGUCACAAAGAGUCAGACACAGCUGAGCACGGACAUGCAUAUUGAGCUAUUACCAUGAGGUUGGUCCAACUAUCGUUUGAGGUCCUGCUGUUGAGAUACUUCACAGCCAGCUGGAAAAAGUCACUAUCAGACUCUUUGGUGGAGAAUUGUGGUUUAGUUGCUAAGUCGUGUCCUACUCUUGAGACCCCAUGGACUGUGGCCUGCCAGGCUCCUCUGUCCGUGGGAUUCUCCUGGCAAGCAUAUUGGAGUGGGUUGCCAUUUCUUUCUCCAGGGGCUCUUCCUGAUCCAGAAAUUGAACCCUGGUUUCCUGCAUUGCGGGCAGAUUCUUUACCAACUGAGUUACGAGGGAAGACCUUGGUGGAGAAUACCGUACAGGUAUAUUUUUGAAAAAUUAAAAUGAAUUAAAAUAUAGAGUAGCUUGAAAAAUUCAGAGCUGAUCUAGAAUUAU
rnacentral:lncRNA from 1 species